GGUGAUUAUGCUGACAUGAGUAACGAUAAAACGGGUGAAAAACCCGUUCGCCGUAAACCCAAGGUUUUCCGGGUAAAGGUAAUCUUCCCGGAGUUAGUCGGCCCCUAAGGCGAGGCUGAAAGGCGUAGCUGAUGGGAAACGUGUUAAUAUUCACGUACUUGUGUGUUCGCGCGAUGAAGGGACGCAGGAAGAUAGGCAAGCCGGGCGCUGGUUGUCCCGGUGCAAGCGUGUAGGGAUGAGAAAUUGGCAAAUCCGCUUCUCUCUAUCCUGAGACGCGAGUCCGUGACCGAAAGGUCUGAAGUUGUUGAGUCUAUGCUGCCUAGAAAAGCUUCUAAGUAUAGGACACGCAAACCGUACCGGAAACCAACUCAGGUGGGUGGGAUGAAUAAUCCAAGGCGCUCGAGAGAACUCUGGCCAAGGAACUCGGCAAAAUAACCCCGUACCUUCGGAAGAAGGGGUGCUUUUUAGGGUGAAGCGAUUCACUCUGUCGAGCCCUGAAAAGCCGCAGAGAAAUGGUGGUGGCGACUGUUUACUAAAAACAUAGGUCUGUGCCAAGUCGAUAGACGACGUAUACGGACUGACGCCUGCCCGGUGCUGGAAGGUUAAAAGGAGGAGUCAGCGCAAGCGAAGCUCCGAAUUGAAGCCCCAGUAAACGGCGGCCGUAACUAUAACGGUCCUAAGGUAGCGAAAUUCCUUGUCGGGUAAGUUCCGACCUGCACGAAUGGCGUAACGAUCUCCACACUGUCUCGGCCAGAGACUCGGUGAAAUUGAAGUCGCGGUGAAAAUGCCGUGUACCCGCAGAAAGACGGAAAGACCCUGUGCACCUUUACUAUAGCUUGACAUUGGGAUUUGAGCCUGCAUGUGUAGCAUAGGUGGGAGGCUGUGAACUCUGUACGCCAGUAUGGAGGGAGCCAUCGUUGAAAUACCACCCUUGUUUGUUCAGGUCCCUAACUCCUUGCCGUGAUCCGGUAGGAGGACAGUGUCUGGUGGGUAGUUUGACUGGGGCGGUCGCCUCCCAAAAUGUAACGGAGGCAUGCAAAGGUUCCCUCAGGCUGAUUGGAAACCAGCCGUCGAGUGCAAACGCAAAAGGGAGCUUGACUGCAAGAGAGACAUCUCGAGCAGGUACGAAAGUAGGUGUUAGUGAUCCGGUGAUCCCGAAUGGAAGGGUCAUCGCUCAUUGGAUAAAAGGUACGCCGGGG
rnacentral:rRNA from 1 species